UCAACACUUAAAAGAGGAUCUUUAAGAGAUUUGACCCUACUUUCUCAUUGUGUUAUGCUAACAGAGCUUUUGCUGUGUGAUUGGUGGAAAGCUUGCCCCAGUAUGGAGAAAGGGCACCUGCUGCUGGCUUGUGAAGGUCAUUCUUAAAAAGGCAACAAGAGAAGACGUGUGUGAACCGUAACAAGAAAAAUAAUCGAGGCCCGAAUUCAAAGGGAGAAACUUCUAUAUAUCAAAGGAUAGAGUCACUGUGAAACUGUUUAGAAUGGCUUGCAUUCUGCUCAGAGGCCUGCUCCAAAUAAACAUUGAAAAGGGUGACAAUACAGAAGUACAAUUGGUAGACGGUUGCCACACCAUAAUCAAAAGCAUCUUAUUGACAGGAUCCCAGGUAUUUUUUCAUGAAAAAGAUUGAAGUUUAUACGAAAUGUAAUUAUUGAGUUUAGAUCUGUUUGUAAAUGUAAUGUUUUUGUUUGCAAAGUGCCAAACUGUAUAAACUUUAGGAGAGCGUUCAACAAGUAUUACACAUUAGAGAUAAGCUUUGUGUGUUUGUGAAAAAUAAAUAAAUGUAUUGCAAAUUAUGACUUAUUUUUUACUGUUAAAAACUAAUAAUAAAUAAAAAGAAAUUAAAACAUAUAGAUACAUUUAAAUAGGAUAAACAUAUUGUAUUAUCAUUAUUCAAAUAAAAUGGGAGUCAUGUAUAAUGUUGUACUGAAAAUACAUGACCAAAAUUACAUGUGGAAAGCAAUGAACAAUAAUCACCUGAUGUCUUCAACAUGUAUUUUUCUCAUUAAAAUUUAUUGCAAGUUCAUUAUUUUACAGCAAGUUAGCAAGUACUCCUCACAGCUUUUCAUCUUAAUGAAGCUGACAAUAACCUGUCAAGCAAAUUAUUAAAAAUUAAGGUUUAUGUUGGUACAUAAAUUUGUGCUAAUGUACAAGUCAUCCAGUAUUCUUACUACCUUAACAUAUGCAUUUGAAGAUGCCAUUGUUCUAUAAAAAUAACAGCUACAAAAAGAUAGACAACAGGACAAGAAUCUGCUCUUUGUCACAUCCCCAGAAUGCUCCAAGGGUAACACCGGAUUAUUUUAAAGUCAAGUGGAGAGUGGGAUUUUCUUUGAAGUGCUUCAGUAAUUAUGUUUGUUCAAGAAAAUAUGGGGAAAGGCAGAGAUAUGAGGCUUCUUGAUGUUCAAGAAAAGCUUGUUUGUGGAUAUAAGUCUUUGGUGAAAGGAUGCAGUGACAAGCCAUCUCCGAGAAAAGACUCCUGCAGAAAUGUUAUCCAGAAAUGUACGGUGUCUGCUUCAGCAUUGUUGUGUCAAUCAUAAAAGUUACACUUGUUUCGGAAGAUGUGAUGUGGACAACAUUCUUUCAGAAGGAUUUUAUCUGUCUUUUUCUAACUUUAUUUUAUUUCAAAAUAUUUUCCACUUUUGUGUUCUCAUAUCUAGAACAACAUGUGUCUACCAAGUUCUAUCAGCAUAUUUAAAACAAACAUUUACAAUAAUUAUUAGAGCAAAAUGUAUUAAAAUGAAUAAUUCCAUUAACUACUU